rnacentral:pre_miRNA from 1 species
AGGGACUUUUGGGGGCAGCUGUGUUCUUCCAUGCUACCAUAAUGCCCCUAAAAAUCCUUA